UUGGAAUCCUCACCUAACUUUAAUAUUAGUAUUUUAUGCCUGUCCAGCAACCUAAUCAUGUUAUAUCUUGUACGACAAGAUCCCUGCACUUGAGGAGUCCAGGCUUAUCUGCUCAAAGGACAGUCUACUCACUCAAUUCACUGCUCCUGGUGAAAGCAGAGGUUUGGCAUCAGAGUUAUUCUGGCACCCACAAAACAAGUUCAGAAGUGAGGGUGCACAUUGAACAUGGAG